AGAGUUUGAUCCUGGCUCAGGACGAACGCUGGCGGCAUGCCUAACACAUGCAAGUCGAACGGAGAAAGUUCAACACCAAGUAUUUCAUCCGCUGAAGUGUAGCGGUAAAAAUUGCGAAGCAAUUUUUACUACGCAUUAAAAGCAUGAACUAACAUGGUGGUUGAAGUAUUAGGUGUUGAACUUUCUUAGUGGCGAACGGGUGAGUAACGCGUGGGCAACCUGCCCUCUAGAUGGGGACAACAUCCCGAAAGGGGUGCUAAUACCGAAUGUGACAGCAAUCUCGCAUGAGGAUGCUGUGAAAGAUGGCCUCUAUUUAUAAGCUAUCGCUAGAGGAUGGGCCUGCGUCUGAUUAGCUAGUUGGUGGGGUAACGGCCUACCAAGGCGAUGAUCAGUAGCCGGUCUGAGAGGAUGAACGGCCACAUUGGGACUGAGACACGGCCCAGACUCCUACGGGAGGCAGCAGUGGGGAAUCUUCCGCAAUGGGCGAAAGCCUGACGGAGCAAUGCCGCGUGAGUGAUGAAGGAAUUCGUUCCGUAAAGCUCUUUUGUUUAUGACGAAUGUGCAGGUUGUGAAUAAUGACUUGUAAUGACGGUAGUAAACGAAUAAGCCACGGCUAACUACGUGCCAGCAGCCGCGGUAAUACGUAGGUGGCAAGCGUUGUCCGGAAUUAUUGGGCGUAAAGAGCAUGUAGGCGGUUUUUUAAGUCUGGAGUGAAAAUGCGGGGCUCAACCCCGUAUGGCUCUGGAUACUGGAAGACUUGAGUGCAGGAGAGGAAAGGGGAAUUCCCAGUGUAGCGGUGAAAUGCGUAGAUAUUGGGAGGAACACCAGUGGCGAAGGCGCCUUUCUGGACUGUGUCUGACGCUGAGAUGCGAAAGCCAGGGUAGCGAACGGGAUUAGAUACCCCGGUAGUCCUGGCCGUAAACGAUGGGUACUAGGUGUAGGAGGUAUCGACCCCUUCUGUGCCGGAGUUAACGCAAUAAGUACCCCGCCUGGGGAGUACGUCCGCAAGGAUGAAAC
rnacentral:rRNA from 1 species